CCCUCAACCCAACCCGCAGCCCCCUGCUAUGCCAUUCCCUGUGACUAAAAAACGUUCCUCGCACUCCCAACAGCCCAGCCCACAGUGCCUGUGGCCCUUGUCCCAGGGGCCCAGGACCAGCUGUGCCACCUAGUCUGCCAUGUGACGGGUUCUAUCCCCGCAACACUGAGGUGACCUGGGAGCGGGGCGGGAGGGGGGUCCAUGGGUUGCAGCUAACAGA